AUGGGAAAGGAAGGCUACGAGUGGCGCAUCAGUGAAACCAAACUGUCUCCUCAUCUGCUCUCAGGUGCCUACAUGAGUCUCUCAGGCAUGUGUUCAGAUGUAUCCUGGCCAGCUCAUCACAAUGCAUGCACAUGGAACAGGCUGACGGAAGCAAAUGAUCCCAUCCUCUGCAAAUGCCUGGUGCGGGAGGGACCUAAGAGGGUACCACCGAACACCUCCCUUUCCUCAAGAUGUAUCACACCUCCGUCCUGCAUACAUCAGCAUCACAGGCAUAUGGGAUGGACUGUGAAGCAGGCAGCUAACUAUAAAUACUGGAUGCUCAGUUCAGGGACUUAUGGCAUAGCCAGGAGAUAAUAAUAAAUAAUUGUAUGAAGUCAAUCAGAAUAAAAUCAAUUGUUACAAGCUGGAUGGAGGAAUAUAAGGGACACUAGUGCAUUUUAAAAUACCAAUAAUACCAAUAAUAAAAGAAGACUAGUGUGGCCACAUGUGAAUAUUUAUGUUUAAAAAAGGUAAGUUUGUAUCCAGAAGGGACUGAAUUUAGCAGCAUCACUGUAUAAACCAAAAAAAUACAUGGGGAUCUUAUUGUUUUCCUAUACUAGCUGAAAAAUAUAAAUCUGCUUGUCUAAACUGAGACAGCAGGAAUAAAAGGCUUCGAACAGUCUGCAACAUAGAUGGAACUUCCAACUUCUCCUCCUGCCUUACUACCUACCGCUCAUCAAACUCAAGACCCUUUUUGCCAACAAAGGAUGCCUCAGAUCAAAGUUUCACAGACCUGAGGCUUCCUGAGGCUUGUCAGGGACUAGCAUCACUGAGAAACAUUUUAUAUUCCAAGUCAAGCAUCUAUGAUCAAAGUCACAUGUAGAGGGCAUUCAGAAAACACUAUAAAAGAGCUAUGCAAACUCCAAAGAAGGAAACACCACAACAUUCAGAUUAAAAAAAAAAAAGUCACUCUAUCUGAAAAACCAGCCUUCUAAGAACCCACUGUCUCCAGGGUUACUGCGUAGUAAUGUUUACAAUUGUUGUCAUCAGUGUCAAACUGGCCAUGUGUCAGAACAGGCAAUGUGCUAACCGUGUUAUUUGUUACCCAUUUCAUCCUCCCAAGUGCCUUAAGGACUUGUGACCAUUAGAAUCUCCAUUGUACUGCUGGGGAGAAAAAAAAAAAAAAACACCGGAGUAUCAGAAAAAUUGGAUAACUUGCCCAAGUUCACAUAGAUAAUGUGCAGAAGAGCUGGAGUCAAAGCCAGGUAAAUCCUCCUCCUCAGCCGGGAGCUAACCUGAGCUCUGCGGAGCAGCGCCCAGUUUCACAAUUUCACAACUAGGGGGUGGAGGCAAGGAAGGCUGGGGACUGUCUCUUAAAGGAAACGACAGAAGUUUGCUUUUAUGUUUGUGAUUUUUCUCUUUAACUCAGCUUCCUUGUUCUCUCCCAGGACUUAGAAGCGAGAGGAGCUAUGGCUGCGGGAGGUCACCCAGUCCUGUAUGAGAAGCAUCCUGUCUCCCACAGGACCGCCAGGGCUGGCAGACCUGUGGGAGAUAGACUGGAUUGCUUCUCCGGGGCUAGAAAGAUCACUGUACCGCACGAGAUGACUGGCGCCCACGCGUCCCUCACCUCUCCAGCGACUCCACCAAGAGUCUGAUGGACACCCUCGGCGGGGCAUCUUUCUGAGAAAACAGGUCAGGGGAAGAGAGAGAGAAGCUGCAAGCAGUCUGUACCCAGGCUGCCACAGGUCCAGGCCGGAAUGGACGUGAUACCCAGUGGGCACGCUGGGACACACUGCCCCCUUCUAUCCUCACCGUUCACAGCAGCACUCUGGAGAAACCAAGGCGCGGGUCUAGCAGGGCAAAUCCUUUAAAGAGCUGGGAGAGGGGUACAGCUACGCGCAGCCAUCCCAAGACCGCGUUACUUAAAUGCCUACAAAGAUGGGGCUCUGGACAGUGGGUUCGAGUCCUGGCCACAGCACAAACUAGCUGAUCUAUCCCAGCCGCUGCCUCUCUCUGUGCCUCAGUUUGCCCUUCUGGAAAACAGGGUUGAAGGAGACGAUCUGUAAGAAUCUUUCCACCCUGAGAUUCUGUAGAUCGGUGAUCCCCCGAGCCCUCAUCGCCGUGAGAGACUCACCUUUCUUGGGAAGCAGCGCGGGCGCAGCGAAGGCAGUGGGGAUGGGUGCCGGAUCGCCCAGCACUGCUUCUUUCGGUGCGCCUGUCCAAAGCGGAGCUCCGGGGACCCCGAUCCGGCCAGUCUUCCCGCAGUGAGCCUCUUACUUUCCGCCGCACUUUCUUUUUUCCCCUUUGGGGUCCUCCCCCCGGCGCGGCGCGAUUGGCCGCCGCCACGCGGGUCCGGCUCCUCCCGCCGCCUCGGCUCUCGCCAGCCGCCCCGCUCUCAGAGCUUCCCAGAGCGAGG
rnacentral:lncRNA from 1 species